AUACGUAGGGGGCGAGCGUUGUCCGGAAUGAUUGGGCGUAAAGGGCGCGUAGGCGGCCUGUUAAGUCUGGAGUGAAAGUCCUGUUUUCAAGAUGGGAAUUGCUUUGGAUACUGAUGGGCUUGAGUGCAGGAGAGGUAAGUGGAAUUCCCAGUGUAGCGGUGAAAUGCGUAGAGAUUGGGAGGAACACCAGUGGCGAAGGCGACUUACUGGACUGUAACUGACGCUGAGGCGCGAAAGUGUGGGGAGCAAACAGGAUUAGAUACCCUGGUAGUCCACACUGUAAACGAUGAAUGCUAGGUGUAGGGGGUAUCGACCCCUUCUGUGCCGCAGUCAACACAAUAAGCAUUCCGCCUGGGGAGUACGGCCGCAAGGUUGAAACUCAAAUGAAUUGACGGG
rnacentral:rRNA from 1 species